GGGGAACUGAAACAUCUAAGUACCCGCAGGAAGAGAAAGUAAGAACGAUUCCCCAAGUAGCGGCGAGCGAACGGGGAUGAGCCCAAACCGGCGGUGUCGCAAGGCAUGUGCCGGGGUUAUAGGACCGUCCGUGACGUUGGAGUGAGCCUAGUGGAAGCGCAUGGAGCGGCGCGCCACAGCGGGUGAGAGCCCCUUACACGAAAGG
rnacentral:rRNA from 1 species